rnacentral:rRNA from 1 species
GACGAACGCUGGCGGCGUGCUUAACACAUGCAAGUCGAACGGAAAGGCCCUGCUUUUGUGGGGUGCUCGAGUGGCGAACGGGUGAGUAACACGUGAGUAACCUGCCCUAGACUUUGGGGUAACUUCAGGAAACUGGGGCUAAUACCGGAUAGGAGCUCCUGCUGCAUGGUGGGGGUUGGAAAGUUUCGGCGGUUGGGGAUGGACUCGCGGCUUAUCAGCUUGUUGGUGGGGUAGUGGCUUACCAAGGCAUUGACGGGUAGCCGGCCUGGGAGGGUGACCGGCCACAAUGGGACUGAGAGACGGACCAGACGCCUACGGGAGGCAGCAGUGGGGAAUAUUGCACAAUGGGCGGAAGCCUGAUGCAGCAACGCCGCGUGCGGGAUGACGGCCUUCGGGUUGUAAACCGCUUUCGCCUGUGACGAAGCGUGAGUGACGGUAAUGGGUGAAGAAGCACCGGCUAACUACGUG